GGAGGGGGAACGAUCCCGGUGGAUCGGCCAGGCUUCAAACCUGGUGGGUGGCGCCAUGCGUUGCCGGGUAGGUUCGACUCCCACCCCCCUCCG
rnacentral:tRNA from 1 species